GACGGAGGAUGCAAGUGUUAUCCGGAAUCACUGGGCGUAAAGCGUCUGUAGGUGGUUCAAUAAGUCAACUGUUAAAUCUUGAGGCUCAACUUCAAAAUCGCAGUCGAAACUAUUGGACUCGAGUAUAGUAGGGGUAAAGGGAAUUUCCGGUGGAGCGGUGAAAUGCGUAGAGAUCGGAAAGAACACCAACGGCGAAAGCACUCUGCUGGGCCGACACUGACACUGAGAGACGAAAGCUAGGGGGAGCGAAUGGG
rnacentral:rRNA from 1 species